rnacentral:rRNA from 1 species
GACGAACGCUGGCGGCGUGCUUAACACAUGCAAGUCGAACGGAAAGGCCCUGCUUUUGUGGGGUGCUCGAGUGGCGAACGGGUGAGUAACACGUGAGUAACCUGCCCUUGACUUUGGGAUAACUUCAGGAAACUGGGGCUAAUACCGGAUAGGAGCUCCUGCUGCAUGGUGGGGGUUGGAAAGUUUCGGCGGUUGGGGAUGGACUCGCGGCUUAUCAGCUUGUUGGUGGGGUAGUGGCUUACCAAGGCUUUGACGGGUAGCCGGCCUGAGAGGGUGACCGGCCACAUUGGGACUGAGAGACGGACCAGACUGCUACGGGAGGCAGCAGGGGGGAAUAUUGCACAGUGGGCGGAAGCCUGAUGCAGCAACGCCGCGUGCGGGAUGACGGCCUGCGGGGUGUAAACCGCUUUCGCCUGUGACGAAGCGGGAGUGACGGUAAUGGGUAAAGAAGCACCGGCUAACUACGUG